rnacentral:lncRNA from 1 species
GGGAGGAAGCAGUUUCCAUCAGGUGACCCAAAUUUGUACCUUUCCCCGUGGGCUCUCUGAAUGGCUCAUCAGCCCUGCUAGGGCUGUUCUCACCAGCUAGAAUGAUGCAAGGUCAAAUCUCUGUGUCCUCCUACAUUGUCUCCACGCCUUCAGCCGGUCUUCAUGGUUGCACUCUUCCUUCUAAAUGCCUCAUAGCAGCCUCCUGGCCUGCCCCACAGACUCCUCUAAGCCAACAUUGACUAUCCCCAGCCACUUCCCCUGGACCCUGAAGAGCCUUCAGAAAAUAUACUUUGACCCACUGACUAGUUUAGUCUCUACUGACUACUCAGAAUUCUUCAUAGUCUGCCUCCACCCACCUGCCACCCUGCCCCCACCCCCAAGGAAGUCUUGGGCUCUGGUCACACUGGCCUCGUCAUUGCAUCCCACUCAUCUUGCUCUUCCUGCCUCUGUGCUUUGGUUCAUGAUACCACCCCCGAGAGUCAUAUCCACUUAAACUCAUCCUCUGAGACCUUGCCUCCUCAGCCGAGCCUUCCCAGAUUUUUCCAAUCCACUCAGCCUCCCCUGCCUCUGAACAGCUGAAGCAUUUAUAGUCUAUAGGGGCUCUCUGACAGGGUCACCAAUAAGUAGUCCUCUUUCCCUCAU